rnacentral:tRNA from 1 species
UUAUAAAUUCAAAUUGCCGGGAUAGCUCAGUUGGUAGAGCAGGGGACUGAAAAUCCUCGUGUC